rnacentral:rRNA from 1 species
UACGUAGGUGGCAAGCGUUGUCCGGAUUUAUUGGGCGUAAAGCGCGCGCAGGCGGUCUUUUAAGUCUGAUGUGAAAUCUCGCGGCUCAACCGUGAGCGGUCAUUGGAAACUGGAAGACUUGAGUACAGAAGAGGAGAGUGGAAUUCCACGUGUAGCGGUGAAAUGCGUAGAUAUGUGGAGGAACACCAGUGGCGAAGGCGACUCUCUGGUCUGUAACUGACGCUGAGGCGCGAAAGCGUGGGGAGCGAACAGG